CAAGGAUUUUUGCUGCAAUCUGUGACGCAGUUCGUUUUCACCCUCGCCUGAAAGAGGCCACUGAUUAUGAAGUGUACACUUCGGUGAAGGAAUGGCUGCGCCACUCAAUCGACCGAUACAAAGAAGAAAAGUGAUCACACUCCUCACCGUUGGAUAAUGAG